GUCUGACACAAACGACUUCUCGUUCUUCAGCCAUGAGACUUCUGGGGUAGGAUCGCCCCAGACAGUACAAGACAGAUUGAGUGCCUGCAGAACAAGUACAAAAGGGCCCCAUCUCCAAACACAGAACCAAAGAAAUCUGUUAAUGAUGGAAGCAUGUGACAGUCCUGCUCUAUGAUGAGUACUGUGAUCUUCUUCAUUAGAAAGAAUGCUCUAUCUAACUAUCAGUAUUGCAACAAAAACAUGCCACGAGUUGUCUUUGGGAAUAACAAGCUCUGCUGCUGGAAACAACCACGUGUGAGUUUUCCCUUGGUGCAACACAUUCUUCCAAACAGCAAAAGCAUGUGAGAAGAGAGCACAAGUGGCCAUAAAUAAAAGACACUGGAUGAUCUGAGCUACUGCAGUGAUUCCUUGAAGAUGACAGUAAUUGCUUACCUGUGAGUAGGUAACUACUUUCUUCCUUACAAUUCAGGACCUUCUGCAGUCCCCACUAGUUAACAGACCAUGAGGUACUCACAGAGGAGGCAGGAAGGAAGUUUAUAAACUCAUUCAGUAGAAUUUAGCUGGAACUCAGAACUAUAGACAAAGUCUUUCUAGUGGGUGGUGUUUUCAAUGACAUGUUUUUUCUGAUGUAAAUGCACUAGCACUGAAUUCUAAUUGGAAGCGUAUUGGAGAUAUGAAUGCUCAUUUGUU